rnacentral:sRNA from 2 species
GCUUUACGAAACUAGGGUUCCGGCUUUCCAAGGGAAGUGACUGGUCCAAGGGUUUCGGGCCCUUUCAAGGGGUUCCACGGAGGGAUAAAAGCCCGGGAGGU